rnacentral:lncRNA from 1 species
GUCAAAGUGACAGAACUAAGCAUUUUUUUCAUCAUCACAAGUCAUAGAUAUAUUCAAUCUCUGAGAAUAGUCACUAAUCCUAGUUGUUAUUGACACAUCAAAACAUUUUGAGUUUCCUCAUACAUUAACACAGCAUGUUAUUUCCAUUUUAAAUUUAAAACCACACCAGUUCUUAUCUUGUAAUGUGAUAAUGCUAUGAAAAAUCCCUUUAUAUGGCAACAUUUGUGGGUUACAUACUCCUCCUCUUCUUUGACUGUUAGAUGUCUCAAUAGAAAUAAUACCACAAUUCCUUAUUUCUAAAUUGAAUUUCAAUUUUCUUCAAAGAAACAGAAUAAAAAGCAUUGUCGUCGUCUUGUUUUAUGACGAUAAGAGAAACAGACAUUACACAACAAUCUCAUUAUCAGAUUUUCCAAAGCAACGAAUGAUUAAAAUAAUGCAAAGAUUUUGCAUUUAUUCACAAAUAUAGAACACGUUUGUUUCUGCGCCCUUUAGACAGUGGAAUAUCUAGUGACAAAAAAUCAUCGCCCUUGUAGCACUGACAGAUGGAACUCUUAAAUGAUUAUCACGUGCUCCGACGGUUUGUAUGAUUUCAAAAGAUAACGUUCAUGAAUGCAACAAAUUUGUAAUAAGGAAUAUAAGUUAAAAUAAAACGAAAAACAUCACACAAGUAAGCGUUUCAUAUAAGUAAUCUAUACAGAAUGCAUUGGUAAAAGGAAGAUUACAAUACAGCCAGUAUAAUUUUUGACUACAAUAUUAUCUAACAAAAGCAAGGUAAUUGUCAUUAAAUUAUAUUUGUCAGCUGUAUCAAUGAACUUUAUGAAAUGACAGCUACUUUAUCUGCCUUAUUCUUAACCAUGCGGAAUUGACCCUACCUGUUUUUUAUGUUUGGAAAAUAUAGUACUUUAAAGACACUGAAAGUUAGUAGUUGGAAGAUAUGUUAUCUGAAAUACUGUAAAAAUCUUUUUAUAUAUCUGUGUGUUUUUUGUCUCUAUUUUUCUAACUGCGCAAAUCUCUAAUUAAAUCAAACAAUCUUAACAAAUUAUUACUAACUUUUAAUUCAAUUAUGUGUUGUUCUGUGACGACUAUCAACUGUCGAUUUUAAUAAUUUUCAGAUAAGUCGUUCCAGAGCUUUGUUCCUUUAAUCAUCAAAUGUUACGCAGUUUGUCAUGCCUUUAAUUCGAACAUGUGUUUUCAAAUUACAAUGGUGCACAUAUAUUGCAUGUUACAUCUACCUUUCAAUUUUAACGAUUUAAAUUGAGAUAAGUUGUUUCAGAGUUACGAG